UACGAAGGGGCUAGCGUUGUUCGGAAUCACUGGGCGUAAAGGGUGCGUAGGCGGGUCUUUAAGUCAGGGGUGAAAUCCUGGAGCUCAACUCCAGAACUGCCUUUGAUACUGAGGAUCUUGAGUUCGGGAGAGGUGAGUGGAACUGCGAGUGUAGAGGUGAAAUUCGUAGAUAUUCGCAAGAACACCAGUGGCGAAGGCGGCUCACUGGCCCGAUACUGACGCUGAGGCACGAAAGCGUGGGAGCAAACAGG
rnacentral:rRNA from 1 species